rnacentral:misc_RNA from 1 species
CAAGAAUCGAGGCUGACGGUGCCUACUCCCUAGGCUCCGUCCAGUCCCGCUCUCUACCUUGCCUACUGCACCGUUUGUUGCUUCCUGGCGGCGUCCCGCCGCCAGGGCCUUUUGAAAGCCAAGUAUAAGCAUUGAAACUUCUGACAUACACUAAAUCGUA